CCUCGUUUCUCAAAUCCGUUUCCCACUGUACCUCGAAUCCUCGUUCCAAAAUGAAGAAAGGACCAUCCACAGUCGUUUCUCCAUUUGAAGAAGGAUCUUGCUGAGUCGAAGAAAGUAUAGAGGCUUUCUAAAGCCCCGUUGAUUAAACGUCGUGGCCGUGACUCAUACUUUGCGACGGUAAACGAAAGCCAGCGGCGUGACUGAUAGGAGGAAAGAAAUUUUGCGAAAAAUAGAAAGCAAGUCUUCGGGAAAAAAGAAAGGUCUUCGAGCUCUCUAUCCAUCGUCUCUUCCCCCACACGGCUCCACCAGGAACUUUGGCCAAGGGCUAGGGUUAGGGUUUCUGAGUUCCCUCCAGGGUUUCGGCCUUCCGGGUUCUCUUCGUCGAUCCUUCUCCCCACGAUCUCCCGCUGUCCUUGGGCGGAGGCGCUUCUGCGAUUUCCGGUGCUCGAUCUGACGGGAUCUGGUCUGGCGAUGUCCCGAUUCGAGGAGGAGGAGGUCUGGAGGUGCCGUGCAGUUCCGAUUCUCGACAGAUAGCCCAGGGAUCUCCAGCGGGCCCUUCUCGGCGACAUGGCCGACGCUCUGUCCGUAAUCUCGGCGUCUGUUUUCAGGAACCUUGCCGAUAAGCUCUACGAGAAGCGGAAGAAUGCUGCCCUUGAGAUCGAAGGUAUCGUGAAGCAACUGGCGCUUGCGGGAGAGCACGACAAGAUCGCAGCUGUGAUCAAUGUGUUAACCACUGAAUUCACGUAUUCCCCGCAGGCAAACCAUAGGAAGGGAGGCUUAAUAGGGCUUGCAGCAGCUACAGUUGGUUUGGCAACUGAAGCUGCCCAGCAUCUUGAGCAAAUUGUACCUCCUGUACUUAAUUCCUUUCUUGACCAAGACAGCAGAGUUCGGUAUUAUGCUUGCGAAGCAUUGUAUAACAUAGCAAAGGUUGUAAGAGGAGAUUUCAUUAUAUUUUUCAAUAAGAUAUUUGAUGCACUUUGUAAGCUCUCGGCAGACUCGGAUGCUAAUGUGCAGAGUGCUGCUCAUCUUCUAGACAGGCUCGUAAAGGAUAUUGUAACCGAGAGUGAUCAAUUCAGCAUAGAAGAAUUUAUACCACUUUUGAGAGAGCGCAUGAAUGUACUUAACCCUUAUGUACGCCAAUUCUUGGUGGGAUGGAUCACCGUAUUGGAUAGUGUUCCGGAUAUUGAUAUGCUUGGUUUCCUUCCAGAUUUUCUUGAUGGUUUGUUCAACAUGUUAAGUGAUUCCAGUCGUGAAAUACGUCAACAAGCCGAUUCUGCACUUUCCGAAUUUCUGCAAGAAAUAAAGAAUUCUGCAAAUGUAGAUUAUGGUCGUAUGGCUGAAAUAUUGGUUCAAAGGGCGGGUUCUCCUGAUGAAUUUACUCGGUUGACAGCCAUCACAUGGAUAAAUGAAUUUGUAAAACUUGGUGGAGACCAGCUUGUUCCUUACAAUGCAGAUAUACUAGGAGCUAUAUUACCUUGCAUAUCCGAUAAAGAGGAGAAGAUCAGAGUGGUUGCUCGUGAAACCAAUGAAGAGCUUCGUGCCCUUCGAGCUGAUCCGGCGGAGGGAUUUGAUAUAGGAGCCAUCCUCUCUAUUGCAAGGAGGGAAUUAACUAACGAAUGGGAGGCUACCCGAAUUGAAGCAUUGCACUGGAUCGCAGCUCUUUUGGCCCGGCAUCGAGCUGAGGUUAUUUCAUAUUUGAAUGAAAUCUUUGGUUCCCUUCUAAGUGCACUUUCAGAUCCUUCUGAUGAGGUGGUUUUGUUGGUGCUAGAAGUGCAUGCCUGCAUUGCAAAAGAUGAUCAACACUUCCGUUAUCUUCUUGUUUAUCUAGUCCAUAACUUCCGCAAUGAACGUUUGCUUCUUGAAAAGCGUGGUGCUUUGAUAGUACGUCGACUAUGUGUUCUUUUGGAUGCAGAACGGGUUUUCCGGGAGUUUUCUACAAUUCUAGAGGGUGAAGAUGACUUGGAUUUUGCAUCCACUAUGGUUCAGGCCUUGAAUUUGAUUUUACUCACAUCAUCUGAAUUGGCCGAACUACGAGCUCUACUGAAGCAAUCAUUGGUGAACUCUUCUGGCAAAGAUUUAUUUGUUUCUCUAUAUGCUUCUUGGUGCCAUUCACCAAUGGCAACAAUAAGUCUGUGUCUGCUAGCCCAAGUAAGCAUGUACUGCCAUGGAUUGUUCUGUGUCUUGCUUGAACCCUUAAAAUCUUCUGACUUUUUACUUGUUCCACCAAAGGCAUACCAUCAUGCCAGUUCUGUGAUUCAGUCACUGGGAGAAGAAGACAUAAAUGUGAAGUUCUUGGUGCAGCUGGACAAGUUGAUCCGCUUGCUGGAGACUCCAAUUUUUGCUUACCUACGAUUGCAGCUUCUUGAACCUGGGAAACAUACAUGGCUAUUAAAGUCUUUAUAUGGUCUUUUAAUGUUGCUUCCCCAGUAAUGAGCUCAAGCGUACAUCAUCAGGAAGUCCAUACUCCCAGAUUUUACAAAUUACAGAGGACAGCAAUAGUAAUCAGGAUGCAGCAAACAUUUAUAAUGCAAUCAACUUCCCAUCUAGGUUGCAACAAUUUGAGCACAUGCAACACCUACAUCGGAUGCAUGCCAAAUUGCAGUUGCAAUCCCGCAAUUCGACAUCCUCAACAUGGUCACUGGAGAUGCAUAAAUUGGAAAACUCACGCCGUCCUUCACCCCUUCUUGACAUAAGUCGCCCCCCUUCUGGAUCAUCCUGGAAUGUUCCAGGACAGUUGUAACAUUGAUGGUGCUGGUUAAUUUUUGGCGCCAUGCCUGGCCUUAUGGCACUGAUCUCAGCAUCUCAAGAAUACUGUGCAAGGAAUGAGAUCCGUUAAUGUAAAGUUGUAUAUCAUAUUCUUCGGUCUGCUAGAUUUUGCUGUGUUGGGACAGCAGGGUUUGAGAUGGACGGCAUAAGCAGGACUCUGUGAGUUCUUUUUCUUUUCUUUUAUUUAUCAGGUAAGUUCACUCAUGUGGUUUUGUAAUUUUUUAUUGAAGACCACAUGAGUCAGAGGGUUUGGGUUAGGAGAUUCAGUUGUUUAUACUGUUCAGGUGAUUCAGUAAUCCCAAUAAAGCAGGCAGGAAAUGUACAUUGUAGUUAGCGUUUGUUACUUUUGGGAUACUGCAUAUUGUUAUUGGCAAGUGGAUACUGCAUAUUGUUACCACAGCAUAUCACUGGUUCAUGUUUCCA